CAGCCGCCGCGGGAAUACGUAGGGUGCAAGCGUUAAUCGGAAUUACUGGGCGUAAAGCGUGCGCAGGCGGUUGGUUAAGACAGAUGUGAAAUCCCCGGGCUCAACCGGGGAACUGCAUUUGUGACUGGCAAGCUAGAGUAUGGCAGAGGGGGGUGGAAUUCCGCGUGUAGCAGUGAAAUGCGUAGAGAUGUGGAGGAAUACCGAUGGCGAAGGCAGCCCCCUGGGCCAAUACUGACGCUCAUGCACGAAAGCGUGGGGAGCAAACAGGAUUAGAUACCCCUGUAGUCCCUGUCUCUUAUAC
rnacentral:rRNA from 1 species